rnacentral:rRNA from 1 species
GACGAACGCUGGCGGCGUGCCUAAUACAUGCAAGUAGAACGCUGUUGCGAACGGGUGAGUAACACGUAGGUAACUGCCUCAUUGCGGGGGAUAACUAUUUGGAACGCUAGUUAAUACAGCAUACUGUGAGAUGGACCUGCGUUGUGUUUGUUAGUUGGGGGGGCAAAGGCUCACCAAGGCGGCGAUACAUCGCCGACCUGAGAGGGUGGACGGGCCAACGUGGGAUGAGAAACGGGCCCGACUCCUACGGGAAGCAGCAGUAGGGAAUCUUCGGCAAUGGGCGGAAGUCUGACCGAGCAACGCCGCGUUAGUGGAGAAGGUUUUCAGAUCUUAAAGCUAUGUUGAUAGAGAAGCGGUAACUAACCAGAAAGGGACGGCUAACUCCGUGCCAGCAGCCGCGGUAAUAC